rnacentral:rRNA from 1 species
AAUGAACGCUGGCGGCAUGCCUAACACAUGCAAGUCGAACGAGACCUUCGGGUCUAGUGGCGCACGGGUGCGUAACGCGUGGGAAUCUGCCCUUGGGUUCGGAAUAACUCGCCGAAAGGCGUGCUAAUACCGGAUGAUGACGUAAGUCCAAAGAUUUAUCGCCCAAGGAUGAGCCCGCGUAGGAUUAGCUAGUUGGUGGGGUAAAGGCCCACCAAGGCGACGAUCCUUAGCUGGUCUGAGAGGAUGAUCAGCCACACUGGGACUGAGACACGGCCCAGACUCCUACGGGAGGCAGCAGUGGGGAAUAUUGGACAAUGGGCGAAAGCCUGAUCCAGCAAUGCCGCGUGAGUGAUGAAGGCCUUAGGGUUGUAAAGCUCUUUUACCAGGGAUGAUAAUGACAGUACCUGGAGAAUAAGCUCCGGCUAACUCCGUGCCAGCCGCCGCAGUAA